rnacentral:rRNA from 1 species
CGCGUAGGCGGUUGGAUAAGUCAGCUGUGAAAACCACGGGCUUAACUCGUGGCCUGCAGUUGAGACUGUCUGGCUUGAGUGUGGGAGAGGAGAGUGGAAUUCCUGGUGUAGCGGUGAAAUGCGUAGAUAUCAGGAGGAACACCGGUGGCGAAGGCGGCUCUCUGGACCACAACUGACGCUGAGGCGCGAAAGCUAGGGGAGCAAACA